rnacentral:rRNA from 1 species
AGGAAGAAUUUCUACAUUGAGACAAGUAAGUGUGAGUUAUGUGAUGAUGAGCCUAAUGAACAUCGAAUGCACCUAUUUUUUAGUUGUGAUUUCAGCCAAAACUUCUGGAUGAACAUUGGUUACCAAUGGGAUACUGACCAUAAUCUGAUGGAGAUGUUAUUGGAAGGAAGAAAACAAGAUACUUAUGGAUGUUUCAAAGAGUGCUUAAUUGCUGGCUGGUGGAGUUUAUGGAAGCACAGAAAUAGCAUAAUAUUUGAUCACAACGUUAAGAAUAUGACUUUCUGUAUAGCCAUGUUUAAGAAGCACUUCAACAUGAUCAUAAAGAAGGCCAAACCUGGUUUGAAGGAGGGCAUGCAAAGUUGGCUUGACACUUUGUAG